CUGGUUGAGCAGGAUCUGGCCACAAGAUGGCAGAGCAUCUCCGCAGCUGCAGAACUUAGAAGGGACUUCUGGUUGACUUCUCUAGGAGCAGGCUGCAGACAGAAACAGUGCUCUGUACAGAUAGUUUAGGAACCAGCUAUGCUGGGGAGGAAAGAGGAGGUAACCUGAUAACACACAUCUUGCCUGGCUGGAGGCCACAGUCUCAAGGGGCACAAUGAAGACGCUGACGGGACCUUUGUUCCUGUGCUUGUGGCUAAAGCUGGACUGUGUGAGCAGAGGAGAGCAGGUGGAGCAGAGUCCUGCUUUCCUGAGUGUCCGGGAGGGAGACAGCUCUGUCAUCAACUGCAGCUACACAGACAGCACCUCAUCUUACUUCUACUGGUACAAGCAGGAGCCUGGGGCAGGUCUCCAGUUCCUUAUAAAAAUUGUUUCAAAUGUGGACAAAAAAGAAGACCCAAGACUCUCUGUCCUACUGAAUAAGAAGGAAAAACAUCUCUCCCUGCACAUCACAGGGGCCCACCCUGGGGACUCGGCCACAUACUUCUGUGCAGCAGAAGCACGGUGUGCCCCAGGCACCUGCUGUCUGUACCCAAACCUGAGAUCAGGACUACAGACUUUUUUCUACCUUUGA